UACGUAGGGCGCAAGCGUUAUCCGGAAUUAUUGGGCGUAAAGAGCUCGUAGGCGGUUUGUCGCGUCUGCCGUGAAAGUCCGGGGCUCAACUCCGGAUCUGCGGUGGGUACGGGCAGACUAGAGUGAUGUAGGGGAGACUGGAAUUCCUGGUGUAGCGGUGAAAUGCGCAGAUAUCAGGAGGAACACCGAUGGCGAAGGCAGCUCGCUGGGACGUUACUGACACUGAGGCGCGAAAGCGUGGGGAGCGAACAGG
rnacentral:rRNA from 1 species